rnacentral:rRNA from 1 species
GAUGAACGCUGGCGGCGUGCUUAACACAUGCAAGUCGAACGGUGAAAGGGAGCUUGCUCUCUGGAUCAGUGGCGAACGGGUGAGUAACACGUGAGCAAUCUGCCCCUGACUCUGGGAUAAGCGCUGGAAACGGCGUCUAAUACUGGAUACGAGCUGCGAAGGCAUCUUCAGCAGCUGGAAAGAACUUCGGUCAGGGAUGAGCUCGCGGCCUAUCAGCUUGUUGGUGAGGUAAUGGCUCACCAAGGCGUCGACGGGUAGCCGGCCUGAGAGGGUGACCGGCCACACUGGGACUGAGACACGGCCCAGACUCCUACGGGAGGCAGCAGUGGGGAAUAUUGCACAAUGGGCGAAAGCCUGAUGCAGCAACGCCGCGUGAGGGACGACGGCCUUCGGGUUGUAAACCUCUUUUAGCAGGGAAGAAGCGAAAGUGACGGUACCUGCAGAAAAAGCACCGGCUAACUACGUGCCAGCCGCCGCAGUAACAC